rnacentral:rRNA from 1 species
GAAUAUUGGGCAAUGGAGGAGACUCUGACCCAGCCAUGCCGCGUGCAGGAAGACGGCCCUAUGGGUUGUAAACUGCUUUUAUACAGGAAGAAACACUGGUAUGUAUACCAGCUUGACGGUACUGUAAGAAUAAGGACCGGCUAACUCCGUGCCAGCAGCCGCGGUAAUACGGAGGGUCCGAGCGUUAUCCGGAAUCAUUGGGUUUAAAGGGUCCGCAGGCGUCAAUUAAGUCAGAGGUGAAAUCCCGUCGCUCAACGACGGAACUGCCUUUGAUACUGGUUGACUUGAGUCAUAUGGAAGUAGAUAGAAUGUGUAGUGUAGCGGUGAAAUGCAUAGAUAUUACACAGAAUACCGAUUGCGAAGGCAGUCUACUACGUAUGUACUGACGCUCAUGGACGAAAGCGUGGGGAGCGAACAGGAUUAGAUACCCUGGUAGUCCACGCCGUAAACGAUGGAUACUAGUUGUUGGGCAUUAGCUCAGUGACUAAGCGAAAGUGAUAAGUAUCCCACCUGGGGAGUACGGUCGCAAGACUGAAACUCAAA